UGGUUUUUGUGGUUUACGAGGACUUUUGACCUGAAUACGCACCGGCAUUACGGGGACAUUUGGGUUUAUGAGGACACAGGCCAUGUCCUUGUAAUUCCGGCAAUGUAGAUGCCUUUCUCUAUGUCCCAGAAGCACCCUCUCCAAUUUUCGCGGCAUGUCCUUAUAUACCACAAAAACCUGAUUUUAUACCAUACACUGUGUAUCCUCUGUGUACGAGAGUGCGCCCCUGCAGCCGGGUCCUGGUACUGUACCGGCGUCAUCGAAAAUUUGCAUUUUUCACACAAGUGUAAGUAUUGAGGCCUGUGAUUGGUCAGAUCGCUACUGGUAGGCGGGAAAUCACGAAAACAAGAUGGCGCCGACGGGCGGAGCCUAAUUCCGCAGCCCCUAUUGGCUGCAUACGCAAUGAACAACAAGCGAGACAAGAUGGCGCCGGUGGGCGGAGCCUCAUUCAGCUUCAGCGUAGAGUCAUGCCUCAAGUUCAUUUCCUGUUUGGACCGGAUAGAAACUCUGCACCUGAGAAGACAUCUGAGCACCUGAUGGAGGCUGCUGUUAUUUUAAAGAAGAUGACAGAAGACACAUCAGAUCAUGCUGAAGUGAAACAGUGAUGGAGAAAGCCCAAGCUCUGGAGGAAGACAUACAGUAUUCACAAAGAUUCAUCAGUGAUUUCACCUGUGUCAGAUGGUAACUGAGAAGAAUCAGAUUCAGAAGAAUAAGAUACAGCAACAAUAAAGAUAAGCCGUGAGACCCAGCUGUCAUCAGUGAUGAUUGUGCUGCUCUUACUGUGGGACUACACCAGACUCUCAGUGAGGUUGGACCCUCUGCUCUCAAAAUGAACACUCUGUCCCAGUCAGAAGUCAGAGAUGUACAGAAGGUAUUGUUUUUCUUUUUGGAAAUCAAAUUAGGCAUGUGCUGACAGGAAAAUUUGGGCCAAUUUUGAUAACCGAUAAUUCUUUAUAUUUGAAAGGCGAUAAAUGAUACAUUGGCAGAUAAAUCUAAAUCCAAAUUCUAAUAUACUUUGAGAGCCUGAUUACAAAAACAAUAGACAGUGUCCCAAACACUUCAGCAUAAA